UGGGGAAUAUUGCGCAAUGGGGGAAACCCUGACGCAGCGACGCCGCGUGCGGGAUGAAGGUCUUCGGGUUGUAAACCGCUUUUGAUUGGGAGCAAGCUUUCGGGUGAGUGUACCUUUCGAAUAAGCGCCGGCUAACUACGUGCCAGCAGCCGCGGUAAUACGUAGGGCGCAAGCGUUAUCCGGUAUUAUUGGGCGUAAAGAGCUUGUAGGCGGUUCGUCGCGUCUGGUGUGAAAGCCCAUCGCUUAACGGUGGGUUUGCGCCGGGUACGGGCGGGCUAGAGUGCAGUAGGGGAGACUGGAAUUCCCGGUGUAACGGUGGAAUGUGUAGAUAUAGGGAAGAACACCAAUGGCGAAGGCAGGUCUCUGGGCUGUUACUGACGCUGAGAAGCGAAAGCGUGGGGAGCGAACAGG
rnacentral:rRNA from 1 species